AUUGAACGCUGGCGGCAGGCUUAACACAUGCAAGUCGAGCGGGGUGAUGGUGCUUGCACUAUCACUUAGCGGCGGACGGGUGAGUAAUGCUUAGGAAUCUGCCUAUUAGUGGGGGACAACAUCUCGAAAGGGAUGCUAAUACUGCAUACGUCCUACGGGAGAAAGCAGGGGAUCACUUGUGACCUUGCGCUAAUAGAUGAGCCUAAGUCGGAUUAGCUAGUUGGUGGGGUAAAGGCCUACCAAGGCGACGAUCUGUAGCGGGUCUGAGAGGAUGAUUCGCCACACUGGGACUGAGACACGGCCCAGACUCCUACGGGAGGCAGCAGUGGGGAAUAUUGGACAAUGGGGGGAACCCUGAUCCAGCCAUGCCGCGUGUGUGAAGAAGGCCUUAUGGUUGUAAAGCACUUUAAGCGAGGAGGAGGCUCUUUUGGUUAAUACCCAAGAUGAGUGGACGUUACUCGCAGAAUAAGCACCGGCUAACUCUGUGCCAGCCGCCGCGGUAA
rnacentral:rRNA from 1 species